ACAUAGAAAUGUUGAUUAGAGGAUUGUACUCCGGCUUUUGCCUCUACUUCAGGCUUCAAAGAUGUCCAGCACAAAGUCCAAGAAGAAACAUCGGGCUCGCACCCAGAGAUACACCUCUAAUGUAUUCGCCAUGUUUAAUCAGGCCCAGAUUCAGGAAUUCAAGGAGGCCUUUAACAUGAUUGACCAGAACCGAGACGGCUACAUUGACAAGGAGGACCUCCUGGAGAUGAUGACGUCAUUAGGGAAGGACCCCUCCAACGAGUACCUGGAGAAGAUGAUCACUGAGGCGCCAGGACCCAUCAACUUCACCAUGUUCCUCACGCUGUUUGGCGAGAAGCUCAACGGCACCGACCCCGAGGACGUCAUUCAAAACGCGUUUGCCUGCUUUGACGUCAAUGACUCAGGUCUGAUUAAUGACGAGUUUCUGAAGGAGUGUCUGAUGACAAUGGGUGAGCGCUGGUCAGAAGACAUGGUCGAGGACUUGUUUCACGGAGCACCCAUACAUAACGGCCUGUUUGACUACAAAGAAUUCACGCGCACGCUGAAGCACGGCUCACGUGACAAAGAAGAUGACCAGGUGCCCUCUAUACCACCAGAGGAGUUAGCGUUUAAGCCCAAUACUUCAACAUAACGGGAUCUAUAUACUAUCCAACAGGAUAUUUAUGCAAUGCUAUGCAUUACCUUAAUUUAAAAAUAACCUCUUCAGAAGAGGAAUAUUGGCAUCAUUAUGACCGACACAUACUAAGUAUAUGAUGUCUAUAUAAAUGUAUCAUAUUUAUGUACAGGUCUUUGACAUUUCUUUAUUGGCACACAUGCCAAUGUAUGCAUGAUUUAGUUUAUGAAACUAUAAAUAUGAAGAAAAAAACCUUGU
rnacentral:misc_RNA from 1 species